rnacentral:rRNA from 1 species
UGGUGAGUAACACGUAGGAAUCUCCCCUUUAGUGAGGAAUACCCUCGAGAAAUCGAGGUUAAUACUGCAUACGUCCCUUCGGGGAUAAAGACGGCCUCUUGCUGUCGCUAAAGGAUGAGCCUGCGGGCUAUUAGCUUGUUGGUGGGGUAAAGGCCUACCAAGGCGAUGAUGGCUAGCCGGCCUGAGAGGGUGUUCGGCCACACUGGGACUGAGAUACGGCCCAGACUCC